rnacentral:rRNA from 1 species
AUGUGGCGGCCAUUGGUUUCAGACAACACAAGCCUGGAGUUGUUGGUCAUACCAAGCACCGCGGAUGAAGCAUCAGUGAUCGGAUUAUCGCGGUUGGCAACCCAGACGACGGUGUGCAAUGGGAUAUCGUUGAACCAUAUGCCAACAUACAUAUUUUUAGUUGAGUUUGAGGGGGUAAAGAAGCCCAAGGCGAACGAACCUUGGUCCGAGGUGAGAGUUUUUCCAGGAGUGAGACCCAUGCCAGGGACAAGCACGCUGUCAGGUGCGCAGAGACGCACUGAACUGAAGGGCCAAGGAAUCAGGAGCAUGAUGAUGAACAAGUGGAGGGAAGGCAGAUGCAUGCUUACAGCAGGAUCAGAGAAGGGGAUAAGAUUGGGUGGAGAAGAUUGA